GUAAUCCUAUAUGAAUAGAAAUACAAGGAAAACAUGAUUUAACAGUAGGGAAACAUAAAGAAGAUACAACAAUUUUAUUUCUCCUGGUGAUGUUUCUUUGCAAGUGGCUUUGGUCAAAGAGAAGGUCAAUGAGAAUGUCUGGAAAAUGGAUUCCAUCUGUUCACAAGAGUACAUGAAGAGGGGAAGGUUGUCAUUGUGUACAGACUGGAGAAUCAGACCUAAACAAAACCCAGAGUUAAGGAGGAAACCUGUUCAGAAGACAAAC
rnacentral:lncRNA from 1 species